AGAGUUUGAUCCUGGCUCAGGACGAACGCUGGCGGCGUGCCUAACACAUGCAAGUCGAACGGAGAAUUUUAUUUCGGUAGAAUUCUUAGUGGCGAACGGGUGAGUAACGCGUAGGCAACCUGCCCUUUAGACGGGGACAACAUUCCGAAAGGAGUGCUAAUACCGGAUGUGAUCAUCUUGCCGCAUGGCAGGAUGAAGAAAGAUGGCCUCUACAAGUAAGCUAUCGCUAAAGGAUGGGCCUGCGUCUGAUUAGCUAGUUGGUAGUGUAACGGACUACCAAGGCGAUGAUCAGUAGCCGGUCUGAGAGGAUGAACGGCCACAUUGGGACUGAGACACGGCCCAAACUCCUACGGGAGGCAGCAGUGGGGAAUCUUCCGCAAUGGACGAAAGUCUGACGGAGCAACGCCGCGUGAGUGAUGAAGGAUUUCGGUCUGUAAAGCUCUGUUGUUUAUGACGAACGUGCAGUGUGUGAACAAUGCAUUGCAAUGACGGUAGUAAACGAGGAAGCCACGGCUAACUACGUGCCAGCAGCCGCGGUAAUACGUAGGUGGCGAGCGUUGUCCGGAAUUAUUGGGCGUAAAGAGCAUGUAGGCGGCUUAAUAAGUCGAGCGUGAAAAUGCGGGGCUCAACCCCGUAUGGCGCUGGAAACUGUUAGGCUUGAGUGCAGGAGAGGAAAGGGGAAUUCCCAGUGUAGCGGUGAAAUGCGUAGAUAUUGGGAGGAACACCAGUGGCGAAGGCGCCUUUCUGGACUGUGUCUGACGCUGAGAUGCGAAAGCCAGGGUAGCGAACGGGAUUAGAUACCCCGGUAGUCCUGGCCGUAAACGAUGGGUACUAGGUGUAGGAGGUAUCGACCCCUUCU
rnacentral:rRNA from 1 species